AGAUUGAACGCUGGCGGCAUGCCUAACACAUGCAAGUCGAACGGGAGUAGCAAUACUCUAGUGGCGGACGGGUGAGGAAUACGUAGGAAUUUGCCCUUAAGUGGGGGAUAACCCGGGGAAACCCGGAUUAAUACCGCAUGACCUCGAAAGAGCAAAGUGGGGGAUCGCAAGACCUCACGCUUUUGGAGAAGCCUACGUCGGAUUAGCUAGUUGGUGAGGUAAUGGCUCACCAAGGCGACGAUCCGUAACUGGUCUGAGAGGAUGAUCAGUCACACUGGAACUGAGACACGGUCCAGACCUCCUACGGGAGGCAGCAGGUGGGGAAUAGUUGGACAAUGGGACGAAAGCC
rnacentral:rRNA from 1 species